CCCUUCGUGGUGUAACGGUAGCACACUCGGCUCGUAUUCGAGAGGUUCAUGCAGGUUCGAGUCCAGGCAAAGGCA
rnacentral:tRNA from 1 species